GGAUGGUUUGAGCCUUCGUCAGCACUGAGGCUGCACAGCUCUUAAGUCGACAGAUUCCUAAAUGGAGUCUGGUGCAGCUUUGAGACACAGUGAGCAACACUAACUCCUCUGCAGCCGCUUCAAAGACACAUAAAUCGGUCUCCGCCGAUCUGCCGCUGUGUCCCGGAGCCGCGACCCGGCCGCCGCGCUGCGACACCGCGGCUGGAUCCGUGAUGACGGUGACAGCGGCCAUGAUGCUGCUCACAACCCGGGCUGCCUCACGCUGUGUCCCCGCGGACAGACGCUCCCAGGCCGGCCCGGAGUCACAGAGGCUCCGUGAUGAAGCUCCGGAUGUUGUCGGUUCUUCUUCUGUGGUGUUCUUGUUUGUUCCGUUGUUUUGAACUUUUUUCCUCAAAAGAUUCGUCACCGUGAAGGGGGCGGGGCCGAGGAGCCUGCUGCCGGUCCUCUCAGCCAAUCACCGCCCGCCCUCUGCUCUUCCUGUUUUGACUCGAGACACAAAGAACAAACGCCCCCUACAAGACACGCCCCCACCAGGGCACGCCCCCACCAGGACUCACCUGUUAAAAUGUUUCUAUCUUUAUGUGAUGUUGGACAGGAGGAGUCCUGAAACAUGACGUCACUUUGUAAAGACUGUUGUUGUGACAUAUUUUCUUAUUAUUAAUAAAACAAACAUAACUG